rnacentral:rRNA from 1 species
UACGAAGGGGGCUAGCGUUGUUCGGAUUUACUGGGCGUAAAGGGCGCGUAGGCGGAUUUUUAAGUCAGGGGUGAAAUCCCAAGGCUCAACCUUGGAACUGCCUUUGAUACUGGGGAUCUUGAGUCCGGGAGAGGUGAGUGGAACUGCGAGUGUAGAGGUGAAAUUCGUAGAUAUUCGCAAGAACACCAGUGGCGAAGGCGGCUCACUGGCCCGGAACUGACGCUGAGGCACGAAAGCGUGGGGAGCAAACAGG